UACGGGAGGAGCAAGCGUUGUUCGGAUUUACUGGGCGUAAAGGGCGCGUAGGCGGCGCGACAAGUCACUUGUGAAAUCUCCGGGCUUAACCCGGAGCGGCCAAGUGAUACUGUAGUGCUAGAGUGCGGAAGGGGCUACUGGAAUUCUCGGUGUAGCGGUGAAAUGCGUAGAUAUCGAGAGGAACACCUGCGGCGAAGGCGGGUAGCUGGGCCGACACUGACGCUGAGGCGCGAAAGCCAGGGGAGCGAACGGG
rnacentral:rRNA from 1 species